rnacentral:rRNA from 1 species
ACGGCUCAGUAACACGUGGACAACCUAACCUAUGGAGGGGGAUAACCCCGGGAAACUGGGGAUAAUACCCCAUAGACUAUGGAUGCUGGAAUGCUCUGUAGUUGAAAGGUCCGCCGCCAUAGGAUGGGUCUGCGGCCGAUUAGGUUGUUGUUGGGGUAACGGCCCAACAAGCCUGUAAUCGGUACGGGUUGUGGGAGCAAGAGCCCGGAGAUGGAUUCUGAGACACGAAUCCAGGCCCUACGGGGCGCAGCAGGCGCGAAAACUUUACGAUGCGGGAAACCGUGAUAAGGGAACUCCGAGUGCCCGUAAAAUCGGGCUGUCCAUCUGUUUAAAUAACAGGUGAAGAAAGGGCCGGGCAAGACCGGUGCCAGCCGCCGCGGUAAUACCGGCGGCUCGAGUGGUGGCCACUAUUACUGGGCUUAAAGCGUUCGUAGCUGGUUUGUUAAGUCUCUGGGGAAAUCUGCCGGCUCAACCGGCAGGCGUUCCAGGGAUACUGGCAGACUAGGGACCGGGAGAGGUGAGGGGUACUCCAGGGGUAGGAGUGAAAUCCUGUAAUCCUUGGGGGACCACCUGUGGCGAAGGCGCCUCACCAGAACGGCUCCGACAGUGAGGGACGAAAGCUGGGGGAGCAAACCGGAUUAGAUACCCGGGUAGUCCCAGCCGUAAACGAUGCGCGUUAGGUGUAUCGGUGACCACGAGUCACCGAGGUGCCGAAGAGAAAUCGUGAAACGUGCCGCCUGGGA